rnacentral:rRNA from 1 species
UACAGAGGUCCCGAGCGUUGUUCGGAUUUAUUGGGCGUAAAGGGUGCGUAGGCGGCGGAGUAAGUUGGGUGUGAAAUCCCGGGGCUUAACCUCGGAAUUGCAUUCAAUACUGCUUCGCUUGAGUACUGGAGAGGAGGCUGGAAUUUACGGUGUAGCGGUGAAAUGCGUAGAGAUCGGGAGGAAGGCCGGUGGCGAAGGCGGCGCUCUGGAACAUUUCUGACGCUGAGGCUCGAAAGCGUGGGGAGCAAACAGG